UACGUAGGGUGCAAGCGUUGUCCGGAAUUAUUGGGCGUAAAGAGCUCGUAGGCGGUUCGUCGCGUCGGCUGUGAAAACCCGGAGCUCAACUCCGGGCCUGCAGUCGAUACGGGCGGACUGGAGUUCGGCAGGGGAGACUGGAAUUCCUGGUGUAGCGGUGAAAUGCGCAGAUAUCAGGAGGAACACCGGUGGCGAAGGCGGCUCACUGGCUCAUUACUGACGCUCAGGCGCGACAGCGUGGGGAGCAAACAGG
rnacentral:rRNA from 1 species